rnacentral:rRNA from 1 species
UACGUAGGGUGCGAGCGUUGUCCGGAAUCAUUGGGCGUAAAGGGCUCGUAGGCGGUCCAUCGCGUCGGGAGUGAAACGCUGGGGCUUAACCCCAGUCCUGCUUUCGAUACGGGUGGACUAGAGGUAGGCAGGGGAGAAUGGAAUUCCUGGUGUAGCGGUGAAAUGCGCAGAUAUCAGGAGGAACACCGGUGGCGAAGGCGGGUCUCUGGGCCGGUACCGACGCUGAGGAGCGAAAGCGUGGGGAGCGAACAGG